rnacentral:tRNA from 1 species
AGCUGGUUAGUUUAAUUGGUAAAACAUCGGAUUUUGAUUCCGAAAUCGUAGGUUCGAAUCCUGCACUGGCCG